GAACGCAAGCGAACAUUCGCACCUGGUUCAAUGCGGACCCUUGUUCCCCGGGCGGAGUGGGGGGAUGGGGUGGAAGCGCCCUUUUACCAGUAUACGGAACCCCGGAAACGUGCUGGGGCUCAGGAACUAUUGAGAUCCUCCUAUGGCCAUGCACUCCUAUGAGUUCUGGGGGCUGAGACUUGCUGUACAGAACAGAGUGAACCUGUCCCUACCUUCAGAGACCUUCCAGCCUCGGGGAGAAGACUGGCAAAUCAAGAGAGAAUUGUUAAGUAGCUGCAAGUGCUUUGGCAGAGUAAUAACAGGGUGCUCUGAGGCACAGAGGAGGGUUCAGAGACCAGUGUCAGAGGAAGGGACUGCGAUAGAGAUGGGAUCUGGCUCCACUGUCCUCUGGGAAAUGACAUGAUAAAGAUUGAAAUGCCAGAGCAUCUGAAUCUGCUCAUCCUAACGUGCUCCCACAUCUGAAUCUGCUCACAGUAUCCAUUUCAGGACUGCAAAAUCACAUUUUUAAUAUGGGGCUCACAUGAUGUAGCCUUAAAAUAGAGGGAAAUCAGAACCAAGGCGAGAAAUUAUCUUUGCCAUUUGCCAAGGUCAGGGUGACUUUGAGACAGAUGUGUGUGUGCCUCUGUGAACACGGUGCUGCCUUCUACCAGGGCAGGGAUUCUGUGUUCUGGACAAGUCUGAGCAUAUAAAACCAAACUUACGCAGUUUGUGAUUAUCUAUGUGCAGAGUUCCUCCUAUUUGGGGAUCCAAACGUGAAAAGGAGGGUAGAAUCCUGUGUCUGAUUUUAACCCAAAUUGAAAACAAAUAUAUCUUUCCUCAACAGCUGUUCCUUAUCAGAUAGAGAGUUUUCCUAUUUUGCACUUCUCUGGCAUUUGAAUUAAGAGACCUGACCCACAUCAAGCGUUUGUUCUGUAACUCUGAAAGUCAGUGCACAUUGUUUAGCCUGGUGUUAUUGCAACAUUAAGUGAAAGGCUGCUGUCUGUACCGCCUACGUAAAUGCUGCCGCACACAAUCUGUCCUCAGCAUGCAGAAGUAGUUAUUUAUUUGGGGAAGUGUGGUCUAGCGGUGAAGGGUUGUGGUCAGAGCACGGGACCAGAAGUCAGGAAGAUGCGUAUAGCAAAAUCAACUCCUUCAGGGACUUGGGGAAGUCGCUUCUUAGACUUAUUUAACAUCUACAUGCUUUUGGCCUUUGUCUUUUUCAUGUACUGAUAUUCACUUAGCACCUAGCACAGUGCCUAGCCCGCAUUAGGUGUUUGAUGAAUAUCUCUUGAAUGGACGGAUGAAUGAAUGAAUAAAUGAAUGGAUACCUUCA